UUUAACGAGAGUUUGAUCCUGGCUCAGGACGAACGCUGGCGGCGUGCCUAAUACAUGCAAGUCGAACGAACGGAUAAGGAGCUUGCUCCUU
rnacentral:ncRNA from 1 species